ACAAACUCUCAGGCUAUAGAACAUGUAUACGUGAAAAAUGCAAUCCCAGAACCCCAGGCCCUUGCUGAUCAAAACUGGCAGAGAUUGUGAUGAUGUCCAGAAGGAAGUUAGGAAUGUAUUCAGCUACACAUAACGGAACCUGACUUGGAGUGGAACAAACAGAGGCUUACGUCUCUCACCAAGAAUUCUGGAGGAGUUUUAAAUUCAGACACAGAAUUAAUUCAUCCUCACAUAUGACCAUGAUAAGAGCUUUUCCAGGCUUGAUUCAGUGGGUCUGCUGCAACUCAAACCUUUACUGUAAGAUUUUAAAUUCAGGUGAGUUUCAGGAGUCAAUUUCUGCCCUUAUCCUCAAAAUAAGCAAUUCUGACAGUUUUCCUCUGCAUUCCAUUGUGACUUUAGGUUCAUCAAAGCUGGUUCCACCAGUUGGUACCAUCUGAGGAAUCUUAUUACCUUGGGUUUGUGUCUGCCUGAUUUAGUUCUUCCCCCAUAUGAUACUGAUCCUUUGUCUCCUGACCCUGAUGCUUGAUGCACCUCUUUACAAAUUAAGAGAUAAAUUGAAUCGUGGUAAUAGGAUACAGACCACAGAAAGUGGGGUUUAGGGACAGAAGGCAAAGGAUGAGCAUCACAAAUCAGUCAGUAUGUUUCUCGAGUUAAUAGAACAAAGGAGAAGACCCUUCAGUAACUCAGUGGGAAUUGAAAAGGCUUUUGAGGGCAUUAGGUCUCUUCCUGGUUCGUUGUUUUUUUUAAAAGGCCUUGGCAGAAUAGUAAUAAAAGGACACUUCCUUAACAUCACUGGUAGUGAGAAUGGAUCCAACAGCCAGCAAUACUCAACAUUUUUGAAGUCAGGAACAACAACA